rnacentral:pre_miRNA from 1 species
UACGUACUCCCUCCGUUCGGAAUUACUUGUCGCAGAAAUGGAUGUAUCUAGACGUAUUUUAGUUCUACAUACAUCCAUUUCCGAGACAAGUAAUUCCGAACGGAGGGAGUAGUUU